GAUGAACGCUGGCGGCGUGCCUAAUACAUGCCAGUCGAGCGAACAGAUGAGGAGCUUGCUCCUCUGACGUUAGCGGCGGACGGGUGAGUAACACGUGGAUAACCUACCUAUAAGACUGGGAUAACUUCGGGAAACCGGAGCUAAUACCGGAUAAUAUAUUGAACCGCAUGGUUCAAUAGUGAAAGACGGUUUUGCUGUCACUUAUAGAUUGAUCCGCGCCGCAUUAGCUAGUUGGUAAGGUAACGGCUUACCAAGGCAACGAUGCGUAGCCGACCUGAGAGGGUGAUCGGCCACACUGGAACUGAGACACGGUCCAGACUCCUACGGGAGGCAGCAGUAGGGAAUCUUCCGCAAUGGGCGAAAGCCUGACGGAGCAACGCCGCGUGAGUGAUGAAGGUCUUCGGAUCGUAAAACUCUGUUAUUAGGGAAGAACAAAUGUGUAAGUAACUAUGCACGUCUUGACGGUACCUAAUCAGAAAGCCACGGCUAACUACGUG
rnacentral:rRNA from 1 species